AUGGAGUUUGUACUUGGCUGGGAUUUCCUUGUUGCUCUUUUAUAAGGUGCCCAGUCUGAGGUGCAGCUGGUGGAGCUUGGGGAGAACUGGUAAAGCCUGGAGGGUCCCUGAGACUCUCCUGUGCUGCCUCUGGAUUCACUUUCAGUGACUCUGGCAUGAGCUGAGUCUGCUAGCCUCCAGGGAAGGGGCUGCAGUGGGUCACAGCUAUUAGCUAUGAUGGAAGUGGCAUGAAUUAUGCAGACUCUGUGAAGGGCCGAUUCACCAUCUCCAGAGACAACAGCAAGAACACGCUGUAUCUGCAGAUGAACAGCCUGAGAGCCGAGGACAGGGCCGUGUAUUACUGUGCCAGUGACACAGUGAGGGGACGUCAGUGUGAGCCCAGACACAUACCUCCCUGUAAGAGGUGA